rnacentral:rRNA from 1 species
CCUACGGGAGGCAGCAGUGGGGAAUUUUGGACAAUGGGCGAAAGCCUGAUCCAGCAAUGCCGCGUGAGUGAAGAAGGCCUUCGGGUUGUAAAGCUCUUUUGUCAGGGAAGAAACGGUGAAAGCUAAUAUCUUUUGCUAAUGACGGUACCUGAAGAAUAAGCACCGGCUAACUACGUGCCAGCAGCCGCGGUAAUACGUAGGGUGCAAGCGUUAAUCGGAAUUACUGGGCGUAAAGCGUGCGCAGGCGGUUUUGUAAGUCUGAUGUGAAAUCCCCGGGCUCAACCUGGGAAUUGCAUUGGAGACUGCAAGGCUAGAAUCUGGCAGAGGGGGGUAGAAUUCCACGUGUAGCAGUGAAAUGCGUAGAUAUGUGGAGGAACACCGAUGGCGAAGGCAGCCCCCUGGGUCAAGGAUGACGCUCAUGCACGAAGUCGGUGGGGAGACAAACGAGGUAUUAGACUACCCGUGGUACGUCCACGUACCCUAAACGAUGUCUACUAGUUGUCGGUACUUAUGUAUGUACGCGNGCGACG